UACGAAGGGGGCUAGCGUUGUUCGGAUUUACUGGGCGUAAAGCGCGCGUAGGCGGACGUUUAAGUCAGGGGUGAAAUCCCAGGGCUCAACCCUGGAACGGCCUUUGAUACUGGACGUCUGGAGAUCGGGAGAGGUUGGUGGAAUUCCGAGUGUAGAGGUGAAAUGCGCAGAUAUCAGGAAGAACACCAAUGGCGAAGGCAGCUCUCUGGGACGGUACUGACGCUGAGACGCGAAAGCGUGGGGAGCGAACAGG
rnacentral:rRNA from 1 species